AGCGGCGGACGGGUGAGUAACACGUGGGUAACCUGCCUCAAAGUGGGGGAUAGCCUUCCGAAAGGAAGAUUAAUACCGCAUAAUAUGAGAGAAUCGCAUGAUUUUCUUAUCAAAGAUUUAUUGCUUUGAGAUGGACCCGCGGCGCAUUAGCUAGUUGGUAAGGUAACGGCUUACCAAGGCAACGAUGCGUAGCCGACCUGAGAGGGUGAUCGGCCACAUUGGAACUGAGACACGGUCCAGACUCCUACGGGAGGCAGCAGUGGGGAAUAUUGCGCAAUGGGGGAAACCCUGACGCAGCAACGCCGCGUGGGUGAUGAAGGUCUUCGGAUUGUAAAGCCCUGUUUUCUAGGACGAUAAUGACGGUACUAGAGGAGGAAGCCACGGCUAACUACGUGCCAGCAGCCGCGGUAAUACGUAGGUGGCGAGCGUUGUCCGGAUUUACUGGGCGUAAAGGGUGCGUAGGCGGAUGUUUAAGUGGGAUGUGAAAUCCCCGGGCUUAACCUGGGGGCUGCAUUCCAAACUGGAUAUCUAGAGUGCAGGAGAGGAAAGCGGAAUUCCUAGUGUAGCGGUGAAAUGCGUAGAGAUUAGGAAGAACACCAGUGGCGAAGGCGGCUUUCUGGACUGUAACUGACGCUGAGGCACGAAAGCGUGGGUAGCAAACAGGAUUAGAUACCCUGGUAGUCCACGCCGUAAACGAUGGAUACUAGGUGUAGGGGGUAUCAACUCCCCCUGUGCCGCAGUUAACACAAUAAGUAUCCCGCCUGGGGAGUACGGUCGCAAGAUUAAAACUCAAAGGAAUUGACGGGGGCCCGCACAAGCAGCGGAGCAUGUGGUUUAAUUCGAAGCAACGCGAAGAACCUUACCUGGACUUGACAUCCCUUGCAUAGCCUAGAGAUAGGUGAAGCCCUUCGGGGCAAGGAGACAGGUGGUGCAUGGUUGUCGUCAGCUCGUGUCGUGAGAUGUUAGGUUAAGUCCUGCAACGAGCGCAACCCUUGUUAUUAGUUGCUACCAUUAAGUUGAGCACUCUAAUGAGACUGCCUGGGUAACCAGGAGGAAGGUGGGGAUGACGUCAAAUCAUCAUGCCCCUUAUGUCCAGGGCUACACACGUGCUACAAUGGUAGGUACAAUAAGACGCAAGACCGUGAGGUGGAGCAAUACUUAUAAAACCUAUCUCAGUUCGGAUUGUAGGCUGCAACUCGCCUACAUGAAGCUGGAGUUGCUAGUAAUCGCGAAUCAGAAUGUCGCGGUGAAUACGUUCCCGGGCCUUGUACACACCGCCCGUCACACCAUGAGAGCUGGUAACACCCGAAGUC
rnacentral:rRNA from 1 species